rnacentral:rRNA from 1 species
CAAUAGCGUAUAUUAAAGUUGUUGCAGUUAAAAAGCUCGUAGUUGGAUUUCUGGUAGGAGCGACCGUGCCGAACUUGAUUGUUCGAGUAUUGUGUUGUCUUCAGCCAUCCUCGUGGAGAACUUUUCUAACAUUAACUUGUUGGGAUUGGGACCCGCGUCGUUUACUGUGAAAAAAUUAGAGUGUUUAAAGCAGGCAUUAGCUUGAAUACAUUAGCAUGGAAUAAUAAGAUAGGACUUUGGUACUAUUUUGUAGGUUUGCAUACCAAAUUAAUGAUCAACAGGAACAGUUUGAGGAUAUUCGUAUGAACAUGUCAGAGGUGAAAUUCUUGGAUUUUGAUCAGACGAACUACUGCGAAAGCAUUUAUCAAGGAUGUUUUCAUUAA